rnacentral:misc_RNA from 1 species
UACGGAGGGUGCAAGCGUUAAUCGGAUUUAUUGGGCGUAAAGGGCGCGUAGGCGGGAGGAAAAGUUGGACGUGAAAUUCCGGGGCUCAACCCCGGAACUGCAUCCAAAACUCUCUUCCUAGAGGAUGAGCGGAGAAAAGGGAAUUCCACGUGUAGCGGUGAAAUGCGUAGAUAUGUGGAAGAACACCGGUGGCGAAGGCGCUUUUCUAGCUUAUUCCUGACGCUGAGGCGCGAAAGCAAGGGUAGCAAACAGG